AGGGUAGCUUGCUACCUUGACCUAGCGGCGGACGGGUGAGUAAUGCUUAGGAAUCUGCCUAUUAGUGGGGGACAACAUUCCGAAAGGAAUGCUAAUACCGCAUACGCCCUACGGGGGAAAGCAGGGGAUCUUCGGACCUUGCGCUAAUAGAUGAGCCUAAGUCAGAUUAGCUAGUUGGUGGGGUAAAGGCCUACCAAGGCGACGAUCUGUAGCGGGUCUGAGAGGAUGAUCCGCCACACUGGGACUGAGACACGGCCCAGACUCCUACGGGAGGCAGCAGUGGGGAAUAUUGGACAAUGGGCGAAAGCCUGAUCCAGCCAUGCCGCGUGUGUGAAGAAGGCCUUUUGGUUGUAAAGCACUUUAAGCGAGGAGGAGGCUACUGGGAUUAAUACUCUAGGAUAGUGGACGUUACUCGCAGAAUAAGCACCGGCUAACUCUGUGCCAGCAGCCGCGGUAAUACAGAGGGUGCGAGCGUUAAUCGGAUUUACUGGGCGUAAAGCGUGCGUAGGCGGCUUUUUAAGUCGGAUGUGAAAUCCCUGAGCUUAACUUAGGAAUUGCAUUCGAUACUGGGAAGCUAGAGUAUGGGAGAGGAUGGUAGAAUUCCAGGUGUAGCGGUGAAAUGCGUAGAGAUCUGGAGGAAUACCGAUGGCGAAGGCAGCCAUCUGGCCUAAUACUGACGCUGAGGUACGAAAGCAUGGGGAGCAAACAGGAUUAGAUACCCUGGUAGUCCAUGCCGUAAACGAUGUCUACUAGCCGUUGGGGCCUUUGAGGCUUUAGUGGCGCAGCUAACGCGAUAAGUAGACCGCCUGGGGAGUACGGUCGCAAGACUAAAACUCAAUGAAUUGACGGGGGCCCGCACAAGCGGUGGAGCAUGUGGUUUAAUUUCGAUGCAACGCGAAGAACC
rnacentral:rRNA from 1 species